rnacentral:rRNA from 1 species
AGAGCGAACGCUGGCGGCAGGCCUAACACAUGCAAGUCGAGCGCCCCGCAAGGGGAGCGGCAGACGGGAGAGUAACACGUGGGAACGUACCCUUCAGUUCGGAACAACCCAGGGAAACUUGGGCUAAUACCGAAUACGUCCGUAAGGAGAAAGAUUUAUCGCUGAAGGAUCGGCCCGCGUCUGAUUAGCUUGUUGGUGAGGUAACGGCUCACCAAGGCGACGAUCAGUAGCUGGUCUGAGAGGAUGAUCAGCCUCACUGGGACUGAGACACGGCCCAGACUCCUACGGGAGGCAGCAGUGGGGAAUAUUGGACAAUGGGCGCAAGCCUGAUCCAGCCAUGCCGCGUGGGUGAUGAAGGCCCUAGGGUUGUAAAGCCCUUUCGGCGGGGAAGAUAAUGACGGUACCCGCAGGAAGAACGCCCCGGCUAACGUUCGCGCUAGCAGCCGC